GCCAGUUUGGCUCAGUGGGUAGAGUGUUGGCUUGUGGACCAAAGGGUCCCGGUUCGAUUCCGGUCAAGGGCA
rnacentral:tRNA from 1 species